CGGCAGCCUGGCGGGCAGGGUCCAGCCCCGAGGCCGCUCCCGGCUGGCGCCCGAGGGGCGGGGCUCUGCCGCGUAGGACCCGGACUCACUGAGGCCAGUCAGCCUCUCAGGAAGCUUUGGAAUAGUCAGAAGCCUUGCGCACCCCACUGUGCCGCUAGCAGCAGAAGCAGCGGGAAGGGCGUGCUCGGAGCUGCCCUGGACACUCAGGCUUGCUCCUUCCAGGAGUGGCUCUGAAUCAGCAUCUGAGGACGUUGUGCCUGGUGGCUUGAAGGUCCAACUUCCUGGAAGAGCCCACUUGGUCACCUGAGGGAACAGUGGCAUUGGAACAGCAAUGGCAACUCAAAUAGCCAAGCAAGGUGGCACAGUUCGCCUGGAUUGUUGAGAUCAAGACCAGGCAGAAGGUGCCAAAGGAGUCCUCCUUUCUCCGGGGACCCUCUGCUCCGGCGUGGGAAGGGACUGGGCGAGGACACCGCACCCCCUGCACCCUCAAGCUUGGACCGUGGCCAGAAGGAAAAAAUGCCCCAAUCUAGA